GAAUCCCACAGGCCGUAAACCCAAGGUUUCCAGGGGAAGGUUCGUCCGCCCUGGGUUAGUCGGGACCUAAGCUGAGGCCGAAAGGCGUAGGUGAUGGACAACAGGUUGAUAUUCCUGUACUACCGAUAACCGUUUGAGAGAAGGGAUGACACAGUAGGAUAAGCUAAGCACACUGUUGGUUAUGUGUGCCCAAGCAUUGAGGCAGUCAAAGUAGGCAAAUCCGCUUUGAUAAUGCUGGGGUGUGAUGGGGAGCGAAAUUUAGUAGCGAAGUAGCUGAUUUCACACUGUCAAGAAAAGUCUCUAUCGAGGUUAAAGGUACCCGUACCGCAAACCGACACAGGUGGGUGAGGAGAGUAUCCUAAGGCCAGCGAGAGAACUGUUGUUAAGGAACUCGGCAAAAUGACCCCGUAACUUAGGGAUAAGGGGUGCCACCAUCAGGUGGCCGCAGAGAAUAGGCCCAAGCGACUGUUUACCAAAAACAUAGGUUUCUGCUAAGUCGCAAGACGAUGUAUAGGAGCUGACGCCUGCCCGGUGCUGGAAGGUUAAGGGGAUCUGUUAGAGCAAUCGAAGCAGUGAACUUAAGCCCCAGUAAACGGCGGCCGUAACUAUAACGGUCCUAAGGUAGCGAAAUUCCUUGUCGGGUAAGUUCCGACCCGCACGAAAGGCGUAACGAUUUGGGCACUGUCUCAACAACAGACUCGGUGAAAUUGUAAUUCCGGUGAAGAUGCCGGAUACCUGCGACAGGACGGAAAGACCCCAUGGAGCUUUACUGUAGCUUGACAUUGGGUCUUGGUACUACAUGUACAGGAUAGGUGGGAGGCUUUGAAACCAGGACGACAGUUUUGGCGGAGCCAUCCUUGGGAUACCACCCUUGUAGUACUGGGACUCUAACCAUAGGCCAUGAAUCUGGUCUUGGGACACUGUCAGGUGGGCAGUUUGACUGGGGCGGUCGCCUCCCAAAAGGUAACGGAGGCGCUCAAAGGUUCUCUCAGUACGGUCGGAAAUCGUACGUAGAGUGUAAAGGCAAAAGAGAGCUUGAUUGCAAGACAUACAGGUCGAGCAAGGAUGAAAAUCGGACUUAGUGAUCCGGUGGUUCUGCGUGGAAGGGCCAUCGCUCAACGGAUAAAAGCUACCCUGGGGAUAACAGGCUUAUCUCCCCCAAGAGUCCACAUCGACGGGGAGGUUUGGCACCUCGAUGUCGGCUCAUCACAUCCUGGGGCUGUAGUAGGUCCCAAGGGUUGGGCUGUUCGCCCAUUAAAGUGGUACGCGAGCUGGGUUCAGAACGUCGUGAGACAGUUCGGUCCCUAUCCGUCGCAGGCGUAGGAAAUUUGAGAAGACCUGUCCUUAGUACGAGAGGACCGGGAUGGACGUACCUCUGGUGUACCAGUUGUCCUGCCAAGGGCAUGGCUGGGUAGCUAUGUACGGAAUGGAUAAGCGCUGAAAGCAUCUAAGCGCGAAGUCAACUUCAAGAUAAGAUUUCCCACCGCAAGGGUAAGACCCCAGAAAGACUAUCUGGUUGAUAGGUCGAAGGUGUAAGUGCAGCAAUGUAUUUAGCUUAUCGAUACUAAUAGGUCGAGGACUUGACCAA
rnacentral:rRNA from 1 species